AUUGAACGCUGGCGGAAUGCUUUACACAUGCAAGUCGAACGGCAGCACGGGGGCGAACCCUGGUGGCGAGUGGCGAACGGGUGAGUAACACAUCGGAACGUGCCCAGUCGUGGGGGAUAACGUAGCGAAAGCUACGCUAAUACCGCAUACGAACUCUGGUUGAAAGCGGGGGACUCGCAAGGGCCUCGCGCGAUUGGAGCGGCCGAUGGCAGAUUAGGUAGUUGGUGGGGUAAAGGCCACCAAGCCGACGAUCUGUAGCUGGUCUGAGAGGACGACCAGCCACACUGGGACU
rnacentral:rRNA from 1 species